UCAGAUUCAUCAGCCUCUAUCAUCAUCAGAUUCAUCAGCCUCUAUCACUUUUCACCUUCCUGAGACCUCAAACUUGCUCAGCACAUCUCUUCGAUCAUCUCCUUCUAUAGAGCUUCAGUUGGUAAAUUUAUUUUCUGUGAUUUUAAAUCAUCACAGCAACUCUAUUUCUCCUCUUUUGUGUUGUGCAGAAACACUGAGUAAUUUUUAUUGUUGAAUCAAAUUCAGCAUACACAUGCUUCUAAUCCAACAAUUUUCCUAAAUCAUUCAUUUAAUUCAUGAGAAAAAGAAAGAAUAAAAUGAAAUUAGAGACAUAGAGGUAGUGUGGAGAUGGGAGAAUUUUGGGGGAACAGCUGUUGUCGAGCAGGAAAGAGGGUAGGAGGCGGCGACCUGCCAACUGCUGCUGUCGGUGGCGGUGGCGGUGGCGGCAACGGCUGGUCGAAGAUAGAGGAGGGGGCAGAGGAGGCGCCGCAGCAUCGGCUUUCCCGAUGGCUGUUAGGCUGAGGGGAAGCAGAGAGAGGGGGAUGGCUGAAGAACAGCGCCGCCGGCGCUGUGCGCCACGGCGGCCGAAGGGAGGAGACAGGGGCUGCGGCGCGGUCUCGGCUCUGCUGUGCUGUUCCGGUCGAAGGAGGAGGUGGCUGGGACGGCGAGGACAGGGGCAGGGGAGGAUGAAGGGAGAUAGGAAGAUAGGGAAGGAGAGUGAGGAGGUAGGAGCCGCCGGCCUCCGACGACGGCGCGGCCGUCCGGUGGCGCGGCGGCAGGGCACCGAGAGGGAGAGAAGAAGAGAGGGAGUGAGGCUGCGUGAGUUUGUGUGUUGGUGUGUGUUGGUAAGUUUAAGUUAGGGUUAAAUGAUGGGCUGAGAAAUGGGCUUUAAACUGGAGCUUAAUUUUAUUUAAAUAGUUGGGUUUAAUUUUAAUUACCUCAUGGGCUCAAUUUCACUUAAGUAAUUGGGCUUAAUUUUAAUUAUUUUGAGCUGCAUAUUUCUUUUAAUUAAGUUGGAUUUAUCCUUAAAUUAUUUUACUAAUCAAAAUUUUCAUAAGAAAUUAUAUCUUAUUAUUUAAAUUAUUAAAUCAAUGAUUUUAAUGGUCUUAUAUAAAAUUCUCAAAGUUUAUAUUAUUUUUCUAAAGUUCAAUUAGGCCCUUAUGUUUUAUUAUUUGAAUUUAUCUGACUAGGUGCGGCGCGAUUAGGACAUGGAUUUUAAUUUGAAUUAUCAGAAUUGCCUUUCAAGCUCCAAUUACAGGUGUGGGAUUUAUUUCAGUACAUGCUGUGGUUAAUCUUUGUCCAUUUUAAUAUUAUGUGUUUACCAUAUGUGAGUUGCAUUAAAUUAUAUCGCUAGGGGCCCGCUCAAUGGGUCCAGGACUUCACCGUCCUUGGUAUGCCACAAUGCGAUUUCAUGUUACAGUUAUGGUUGCAACCAGUCGCCAGGGGCCGGCUCAAUCGGUCCAGGACAGAAAGGUCCUUGGUAUGCCACCGUGCGACUUUCAGUCACGAAUGUAUUGAUCAUAUGUGAUUCUCAUUUUAUUAACGUGGACAAUGAUUGCAUGUUCCCACACUGAGUGUACCCUGUAUGCUCACCCCAUACUCAACAUUUUUCAGGUUUAAAGGCCGGAGGCGCGUGGAAGGUCGAAUGGCGAAUCAAAUAUUUCGAAUUUGGUUUUACUUAAAAAUGUUAUGUUGAGUAAAAUAUUUUAAAUAAAAUGUUUCUUUUCAUGAUUUUCUCAUUAAAUAUUUAUUUAUAUUCAUAGUUUUUCCGCGUGCGUUUUCAUGUAAAUUUAAAAUGGAUUUGGGUGUCACAAU
rnacentral:lncRNA from 1 species